UGCGUAGGCGGCGCGGAAAGUUGGGUGUGAAAUCCCUCGGCUCAACCGAGGAAUUGCGCUCAAAACUACCGUGCUCGAGGGAGAUAGAGGAAUGCGGAACUUAGGGUGGAGCGGUGAAAUGCGUUGAUAUCCUAGGGAACACCGGUGGCGAAAGCGGCAUUCUGGAUCUUAUCUGACGCUGAUGCACGAAAGCUAGGGUAGGCAAACG
rnacentral:rRNA from 1 species